GCCAGGCGCAGUGGCGCAUGCUCGUAUCCCCAGCUACCUAGGAGACUGAGGCUGGAGGAUUGCUUGAGUCCAGGAGUUCUGGGCUGUAGUGAACUAAGUUUGGCAUCAAUAUGGUGAACUCCCUGGAGCAGGUGACCACCAAGAUUCCUAAGGAGUGGUAAACCGGCCCAGGUUGGAAACAGAGCAGGUCAAAACUCCCAUGCUGAUCAGUAGUGGGAUCACAUCUGUGAAUACCCACUGCACUUCAGCCUGGGCAACAUAGCGAAACUCGCUCUUUU
ensembl:misc_RNA Metazoa_SRP Metazoan signal recognition particle RNA